rnacentral:lncRNA from 1 species
CUCGUGGUAGCAGACGCAUGUUGUAUGUGAUUUGCAGUGUCCAAUUAAGAAAGUAUAACUUCUAUGCUGCAUAAAAAUUGAAAGCAGCUGAUUCUUAUGUGUAAUCUGUGAAGGUGUCUGUCAGACUGUUUUAAAAACAGCACACUGCAAAUUGGAAUUUACCAAACUAGCAAAAUGCCUUCAGGGGAAUUUUGAUGAGCCUUUAGAAGAAAGGGCACUGUCAGAUAAUUUAAGCAACUCUGAGAAAACAUGCUGCAAAUGCUUUUCUUCUUCUUGUCUCUCGGGGGGGUGUGAGGACGGGCGCCAUUUUCCUGCCACCAGGUCCGCAGCUGCCAGUGCAGCGCCACUGAGGCUGGUGCUCCUGGCUGCUGUGGGAGAGAACAGUUGAUCUACACAGCAACCCUGAGGUGUUUUUUGCUGUUUUAUCAACCCUGUCCCACAACAUCUUCCCUUUUGCCUCACAUGUAUAGCGCCAAAACACGAAUUUUGUUCUAUUGAUCUCAUUCCCACAUCCCAAUCAUGGGGCAGCGGCCUGCACUAUAUAGCCCUCAGGCUGGGGCUGAUCUUGGGACUGCAGCUCCUCGUGCUGCGGCUUCUGCAACUCCAAGCUGUGCUGGUCUGUUCCCCCACGGUGCUGGGACAUGCCUCACCUUCCUUUCCAGCUCCAGCUUGCAGGUCCCUGGCAGAAGCUGUCUUCUACUGAUGUUUAAGCCAAUGUCCGUGUGGGCAGUGCAGGCACUGGAGUCGUGUGAGACGUCUUCUGUUCUUCUAUGA